AACCCUAAAGGGUUCCACGACUUUUCUGUGUCGCCUUUCUUUAUUCUCUCUCCUUCAUUUCAAUUUCUCUCUCGCCUCUCGCCCUUCGCCUCUUCGUCAAUCUUCUCUUCUCUAGCCGCCUCUCUUUCUUUUCUUCUCCUCUCUGUCAAUUUCUCAUCAUCAAGAAGGACCAGAUCGAUGGCCAAGUUCAGAUCGGUUGUUUCCAUCAAUUCUCUUCUCUGGGUCAUCGGGUUUCGUUUGAAAUUUGAGUAUGGUGCCAUGGUGGUUGAAGUCUGAGCACGACCUCCGCCACCACCGCAAGGACCAGAUCGAUUUAUUUUUCUGAGAUAUUGGGUAUGAUGAUGCAUGAAGACUCGUACUUGAUCUUCUGGGCAUGAGUUUUCAUGCAUGUUGAUGACUUUGAUUAUACUUCCAAAGCAUGUUGAUGACUCGAUGGUAAUAUCUAUUCUCUCUGAAUUUCAAAUCCAAUUAUGAUAUGUUGUGUAUCUAGGAACGAAAAAGUUAGAUCUGUUGUGAUUGCAUCUAUGAUUUACUAUAUCUUUUGUUUGGGUAUGUGCUGGUGGUUGAUCUUUAAUCAAAGAGCUUGGUUCUGGGUUCUGGCAGCGGUGGAAACAGCAAGAAGGAAGAUGAGGGGCAGGGUAACAAAGGCGGAACUGGUCGCCGGAGUUGCAUCUCAUUUUGAGCAGGGUGGCAUUCUUGUGCUGGAACCUCAACCAUGGAAGUCUUGUGAUAUAAAUCAUAAAGUUUCUGAGGCAAAAAGAACCAAUUCACUACUAGAAUUUUAUCCUUAGACAUCACGACAAUUACAUCGGUGAGGAAUUCACGCGAUGUAAAAAAAUGUCAUUAACAUCGAUUCCUCAAAUACCGAUUUCUAUGCAUAUUACUGACAUCGAUUUUUACUGUUGACCGAUGUCUAUAUUUUCAUUCUAAAAUUUUUUAAAAUGCGGAAAGACUAAGUUAAAAAUUUUCAGGAACGCGGGGAACAAAAUUUUCAUUCCCCACACUUGUUAUUUUUCCAACUCACUUUAUCUCUAACUUCACAAUUGAAAACUGGCAACCCAUUUUCUCUCUUGCUAUUCCCCGAACCCUAGCCCUCUCCUCCUUCCUCUCCCACUCUCUUUACACGGCCACCACUGCUUCCCUCUCCUCCGUUCACUCCCGCUACUAUCUCUCUCUUUCUCAUUGACCGCCUCCUCCAUGAGCAAGCUCUCUCUCUCUGUCUUGGAUCUCGGAAGACUGAAAGAAGGCAUAGAACCCUUCUCUCAAUCUCUCUCUCGAAUUGGGGAAAUCGAUUGCUUCUGUGAACCAAGACAACAUGCCAGAGGCGACCGGCACCGUUCUGUCAAAGAAAUCUUAGGCACUGGCGAAAAUCACUGAUUCAUAGUCGGUUCUCAAAAGGUAAAUCGAAAUGGUGGGGGUUUUCAAUUUUAGGGUUUUUGGUAAUCAAUCGAAAUUUGAAUUAUAGAUUUGGAGAUUUGGCGUGGUUAUUCGAGUGAGUAUCGGUCUGUUCGAGCGGAAUUGUACGUGCUGAAUUUCGAUUCAACUCAGAUGCUUUCUCUUCUCUGUUCUCGAAAAGUUUGCGUCUUGGGUCAGUUCCCAACCUCUUUUUGCUUGGUUUUUGUUUUUGGCUUCUUCAUUUUACUGUUAGAUUCAAUUUUAUGUUGAGGUUUUCAGUUAUGAUUUGCUAGAAAUUAUUUCUGAUUUAAUUCAUUGUGGACUGAAAGCUGUAGCCAUUGCUUGUGUGAGAUUUGCUUUCUUGCAUUUUGCUGUUAAUGCAAAGUGAAUUUUGUUAAUGCAAAUUAUCUGUGAUUCCGUAUGGUUUGCCUUUUUAUUUUUGAUGAAAGAUGGUGUUUGUGAAUAGGGAUAUGGUUUUACUUGAUCAGUGAUGUAGAGAGAAUAAACUCAUUUGGUGAAAUGCGCAAGCAAAUCACCAAUAAGGGUUCUGUGUGAAGUGGUCAGGCUCAUGGUUUGAGCCCCUUAAUCUAGGCUUAUUAAGGUGACUAAAAUGUGUGUUGUCUCAUUUGUUUAAAUGGAUAUGAAUAUGACCGCAUUGUCUACUUGGGAGUAAUUGGUUAUUUACUAUUCUUUUGGCAUUAGAGUCAACUGCUUUGGUUGUUUUGUUCAGUGAUUACUUCUCCUUAUCAUGGUUUACUUAUGAUUUGCUUUUAACAAAUAAUAGUAAUAAUAAUGGUAACAAAUGUAUGUAUGUCUUUACUGGCAAACAUUUAUGCACAUAUUAGCUGUGUAUGUCUUUGUGGAGGAUUGCUUCAGGACCUUAACAAGAUAGAAUUGCACGUUUCAGAGAAUUUCCCCAUGAAGGUAUUUUCUUAUAGGCAUGAAUUUGGGCUCUGUUGGUUUGUCAUAUAAUUGUAGAUGCUUUAUCAAUGUUCAGAUAUUGCUUCACUUUGCUACUAUUUGGUUGGUUCUGGGUAUUGCAAUGAAUUCAGAAUUCUUGGUUAGUUGCUUCUAUUAUACAGAUACAAGGAAUUAAUUAUCAUUGUUCGAUCGUUGUUUUUUGUGUGUGUGUAAAUGUUUGUUGAUUUUCAUUCUUUGGAUAUGUAUACAUGUAUUUGUGAGGGAUGCAAUAACCUAUGGACUACAAGUAACUUCAGUCCCUUGGCUGGGUGUUAAGAAGAUUCAAGUUGUAUAAUCUUGGUAUGAGUUGGUAAAUGCAGGUGAUGUCAAUCUGGUAUCACUUAUUAUCUUUUCUUCAUAUAUUUGAUUAUAUGUUGGUCACUGAAGAGUCAUGCAAUAUAUAUUUGAAGACUCCUGCCAUCAUUUUUGUCAAAAUGUACAACAUGCCUAUCAUGCUUUGAAUUAUGCCAAGCAAACCAUGACUUAAUAAUCAAUUAUAUAUGCUUGAAAGCUUAUCUUGUAGCACAUAUAAUCAAUUAUGUAUUUUGAAGGGCCAUGACUUGCAGCACGUUUUAAGAAGCCCUCACAUGAUUAAAGCUAUUUGUUCUUUGGCAAAGCAAUUGUUAAUUGAACCUUGUUGCUGCACUUUGUAUUUGUCUUCUAACUAAACUUGUUAGCACUCCAAAGGUUAAUUGAUUAAACAUGCCAUCUUUUUUGUCUGCUAGCUUGUGGUGUACAAAGCUUAAUUCUUUAUGUCUCUAGCAACUGCAAGAUUGAAUUAAUUAUAGUCGCCACCGUUUGAUUUUUGCAAGUUCCAGAUUGAGGCUUAAUUAACGUAGCCGUCAUUUGUUAUUAACCAUGUCUGGCAUUGCUGCAGCACAUCACCGCCUCAAAAUGGCUGAACAAAUUAAUUAAUCCUGUCACUUUUGAUUGUCAGCACCGCUUCACCACCGCACACUGCACUUGCUAACUGUUCUCUUACUUUAUUCGUGAACAUUAAUUUAGCCUUUUCAUUUCAGGCGUCAUUGUGUCUCCACCGCUGAGCCCUGCUGCCAAUCUUUCAGAGCUCUGCCUUCUGACUCUUCUUUUCUUUUUAUUGAAAAGGCUCCAAUGGCCUUGGUUCCUAAUUUCAUAGUUUCUAGAGUAAUUUUAGCUAGUAGAUGCAUAUAUUUUUUUUUUUUGGUGAACAAAGGGUGUAAAUGGUCAGCCGAAAGAGAAAAAUAACUAAUUGGUCUAGCCAAAAGAGAAAAAUAACUAACUAAUAAACUGGCCUUGAAAAAAAAAAAUCCAGUAUUAAAUAAUUUUUAUUAAAUAAAAAACCGAAUCUGGCCAUUCAAAAAAAAAAAAAAAAACCGAACUGGACCAUACCAAACCGAACCGGUCGGUUCAAUUUUCUGUUUCAACUUCAAAAAAACGCAAAACCGAAUCAAACUGAAGUCUAAGUUAGGUUCAGUUCUCAGUUUUUGUCCAAAACCGAACCGUUUGGAACCGAACCCACCCCCCGUGAGGGCAGGGGAGGUCGUCGCUUCUCAACAAUUGUGUCAGGGAUGGUAGUGGCUGGUUAGCCCAUCUCAAAGGACUCACCGUUCAAAUGGCAAGCAGGGCUGCAGAAUGGGGAGCACUAUUAGCUUCACGGGGAACCUAGUCCCAAUCAAAAUCUUCAAAGUAAGAACAUCGUCUUUUGAUUUGGUCAAUGAUCGGAAAUGUUUUCCAAUCCCUACAAGCUGCUGAACUCUUCAAAUAUGUGAUGACGUCUUUUGAAUCUGACUCAAACCUUACUUCUUUUAGAUUCAAAUUGAUUGCAAACCUAACUGUAGCAAGUAUGGCCUCAGAUUCAACCACAGAAACAGAGCUACAGACGGCCAGGGUUGCAAGAACACCUACUACAAACACAAUAUGGUCGCGAAUUGCAACACCCAAGCCAGCAGAGUUGGGGGCUGACCAAGCUGCAUUGUUGCUGACCUAAGAAAACGGUCAAUAUAUUGCAUUCGGGCAAUAUAGUCUUUUAAUAAUUCAAAUGUUAGUAGGGUGAACUAAGAAAAUGGUACAGUGACUGACAGGUUCAUAAUUUCAUACAUUUUUAUACCCUUAAAUGUAGGAUUCUAGGCUUAGUUCUUGUCAUUUUUGAGUCAUUUACUUUGUCUUUGUGUUUUGUAGGUUAAAUUGGAGAAACGAAGGAUUUCGAGCUUAAAGUCAAACGCAGGAUUGAAAGCGUGCUUGCUAUCCUGAGCUUCCAGAAUUUAGUCUGCUGAGCGUCAACUUUGAGGAUUAAACUGUACCUUCUCACAAGGAAUAAGCAGGCGAGCCAUAUACCAUUGGAAAGAUACGGAUGUUAGCUUUCUGAGGAAUUUUACGGAAGUGGAUUCGCAUUCUUGCAGAGCAAGCUAUGAUAAUUUAAUUGAACCUAGUUCGGUAAGGCAGAUUCUGACGGAUCUUGCAUACCUUUUCGGAAUCAAACUUGUGAGGCCCAAGUCCGUUGUUCUUAGCACUCGAAUGAAACAAGACUGAACAUGUCUGACAUAUUUGGAGUGAUUUCUUGCGUUGACUAUAAUAACCUUGUGUUUCUUUGGAAAGAAGAAAUCUAUUCCAAGGUGGACUAGAAGACUUAAGAAGCCCAAGUCAAGUAGGAAUUAAAAGAGACAUACGAGGCAGAAAACCUAGGGACGUCUAGAGACACAAGAGGCAGCCUGGAGAGCAUAUUGGGGCUCAAUAAGAGCAAGAGGAGUCACCUUCAUCUUUAUUCCUCCUGCACUAUGUUUUUCUUAGUUAUUUUUAUCGUUUGUUUUUGCUAAAUUCUUAAGCUAGGGCUGAGAUGAAGCCCCUAGUAUGACUAUUCUAUUUGUUUAAUUGGUCUGCUAUUGAAUUUCGGGAUUUCUAUGUUAAACUCUUAAUCACCGUUUCAAUAGAACUUUUAUUCAAAAUC